GACGAACCUUUGCGGCGUGCUUAACACAUGCAAGUCGAACGGAAAGGCCCUGCUUUUGUGGGGUGCUCGAGUGGCGAACGGGUGAGUAACACGUGAGUAACCUGCCCUUGACUUUGGGAUAACUUCAGGAAACUGGGGCUAAUACCGGAUAGGAGCUCCUGCUGCAUGGUGGGGGUUGGAAAGUUUCGGCGGUUGGGGAUGGACUCGCGGCUUAUCAGCUUGUUGGUGGGGUAGUGGCUUACCAAGGCUUUGACGGGUAGCCGGCCUGAGAGGGUGACCGGCCACAUUGGGACUGAGAUACGGCCCAGACUCCUACGGGAGGCAGCAGUGGGGAAUAUUGCACAAUGGGCGGAAGCCUGAUGCAGCAACGCCGCGUGCGGGAUGACGGCCUUCGGGUUGUAAACCGCUUUCGCCUGUGACGAAGCGUGAGUGACGGUAAUGGGUAAAGAAGCACCGGCUAACUACGUGCCGGCAGCCGCGGUGAUACGUAGGGUGCGAGCGUUGUCCGGAUUUAUUGGGCGUAAAGGGCUCGUAGGUGGUUGAUCGCGUCGGAAGUGUAAUCUUGGGGCUUAACCCUGAGCGUGCUUUCGAUACGGGUUGACUUGAGGAAGGUAGGGGAGAAUGGAAUUCCUGGUGGAGCGGUGGAAUGCGCAGAUAUCAGGAGGAACACCAGUGGCGAAGGCGGUUCUCUGGGCCUUUCCUGACGCUGAGGAGCGAAAGCGUGGGGAGCGAACAGGCUUAGAUACCCUGGUAGUCCACGCUGUAAACGGUGGGUACUAGGUGUGGGGUCCAUUCCACGGGUUCCGUGCCGUAGCUAACGCUUUAAGUACCCCGCCUGGGGAGUACGGCCGCAAGGCUAAAACUCAAAGGAAUUGACGGGGCCCCGCACAAGCGGCGGAGCAUGCGGAUUAAUUCGAUGCAACGCGUAGAACCUUACCUGGGUUUGACAUGGAUCGGGAGUGCUCAGAGAUGGAUGUGCCUCUUUUGGGGUCGGUUCACAGGUGGUGCAUGGCUGUCGUCAGCUCGUGUCGUGAGAUGUUGGGUUAAGUCCCGCAACGAGCGCAACCCUUGUUCACUGUUGCCAGCACGUUAUGGUGGGGACUCAGUGGAGACCGCCGGGGUCAACUCGGAGGAAGGUGGGGAUGACGUCAAGUCAUCAUGCCCCUUAUGUCCAGGGCUUCACGCAUGCUACAAUGGCUGGUACAGAGAGUGGCGAGCCUGCGAGGGUGAGCGAAUCUCGGAAAGCCGGUCUCAGUUCGGAUUGGGGUCUGCAACUCGACCUCAUGAAGUCGGAGUCGCUAGUAAUCGCAGAUCAGCAACGCCGCGGUGAAUACGUUCCCGGGGCU
rnacentral:rRNA from 1 species